GGGACCCAUCCCGAGUUGGAGUCAGAGCUUUGUGCUC
rfam:Blumeria graminis f. sp. tritici 96224 unplaced genomic scaffold Scaffold-10334, whole genome shotgun sequence.